GUAGCAAUACUUAGUGGCAGACGGGUGAGUAACAUGUAGGUAUCUGCCCUUUGGCCUGGAAUAACACGAGGAAACUUGUGCUAAUACCGGAUAAGUCUUAACGGAGAAAGCUUUAUGCACCAUUGGAUGAGCCUGCACUUGAUUAGUUUGUUGGUGGGGUAAUGGCCUACCAAGACUGUGAUCAAUAGCUGAUUUGAGAGGAUGAUCAGCCACAUUGGGACUGAGACACGGCCCAAACUCCUACGGGAGGCAGCAGUGGGGAAUCUUGCACAAUGGAGGAAACUCUGAUGCAGCGAUGCCGCGUGAGUGAAGAAGGCCUUUGGGUUGUAAAGCUCUUUCGUCGGGGAAGAAAAUGACUGUACCCGAAUAAGAAGGUCCGGCUAACUUCGUGCCAGCAGCCGCGGUAAUACGAAGGGACCUAGCGUAGUUCGGAAUUACUGGGCUUAAAGAGUUCGUAGGUGGUUGAAAAAGUUGGUGGUGAAAUCCCAGAGCUUAACUCUGGAACUGCCAUCAAAACUUUUCAGCUAGAGUAUGAUAGAGGAAAGCAGAAUUUCUAGUGUAGAGGUGAAAUUCGUAGAUAUUAGAAAGAAUACCAAUUGCGAAGGCAGCUUUCUGGAUCAUUACUGACACUGAGGAACGAAAGCAUGGGUAGCGAAGAGGAUUAGAUACCCUCGUAGUCCAUGCCGUAAACGAUGUGUGUUAGACGUUGGAAAUUUAUUUUCAGUGUCGCAGCGAAAGCGAUAA
rnacentral:rRNA from 1 species